rnacentral:rRNA from 1 species
UCGGGAAUUUUGGGCAAUGGGCGGAAGCCUGACCCAGCAACGCCGCGUGAAGGAUGAAAUCCCUCGGGAUGUAAACUUCGCAAGAACGGGAAGAAUAAGCCGGUGUCAACACCACCGGUGAUGACGGUACUGUUUGUAAGCUCCGGCUAACUCCGUGCCAGCAGCCGCGGUAAUACGGGGGGAGCAAGCGUUGUUCGGAUUUACUGGGCGUAAAGGGCGCGUAGGCGGCCUCUGCAAGUCGACUGUGAAAUCUCCGGGCUUAACCCGGAACGGUCAGCCGAUACUGCAGGGCUAGAGUGCAGAAGGGGCAACUGGAAUUCUCGGUGUAGCGGUGAAAUGCGUAGAUAUCGAGAGGAACACCUGCGGCGAAGGCGGGUUGCUGGGCUGACACUGACGCUGAGGCGCGAAAGCUAGGGGAGCGAACGGG